CGAGAAGGGCGUUUGGUGAAUGCCUUGGCAGUAAGAGGCGAUGAAGGACGUGAUACUCUGCGAUAAGUCAUGGGGAGCCGAGAAUAGGCUUUGAUCCAUGAAUUUCCGAAUGGGGGAACCCACCUGACAGU
rnacentral:rRNA from 1 species